rnacentral:rRNA from 1 species
CCUACGGGAGGCAGCAGUGAGGAAUAUUGGUCAAUGGGCGUAAGCCUGAACCAGCCAAGUCGCGUGAGGGAUGAAUGUCCUAUGGAUCGUAAACCUCUUUUAUAAGGGAAUAAAGUGCGGGACGUAUCCCGUUUUGCAUGUACCUUAUGAAUAAGGAUCGGCUAACUCCGUGCCAGCAGCCGCGGUAAUACGGAGGAUCCGAGCGUUAUCCGGAUUUAUUGGGUUUAAAGGGUGCGUAGGCGGGUUUUUAAGUCAGUUGGGAAAGUUUGUGGCUCAACCAUAAAAUUGCAGUUGAUACUGGCAUCCUUGAGUACGGUAGAGGUAGGCGGAAUUCGUGGUGUAGCGGUGAAAUGCUUAGAUAUAACGAAGAACCCCGAUUGCGAAGGCAGCCUGC